rnacentral:sRNA from 2 species
CUUGCUUCAACUGCUCAACGACACUGGAUUAUUCUAUUAGAUGCACGUUGCCUUCUUUGCCUGUAUAGAGAAGUCUAUAGAUACACCUCAUUUCCCGUACUUCUCCCACGGACAUCUCUACACAGCCAAUGUCAUAACAUUGGACACCAAGCAAACGCUCAAUGGACCGACCAUACCGCGCAGCAUCAGGGCGACGACGUGGUGCGGAUAGCUAUGCAAUAUCUGAAGAUUCGGGGACAGAUUCGCUUCAACAGCUCGAGCCGUCACCUCUCGACUGGACACUAGACUUGGAACAGGGCGGAAACCUGCCGAACGCCUCCACCGCCAGCGGAAAAGCCGCUGGUGAAGGAAGGUAUGAAGGAGAGAAUGCACAUCGACAUGACCCCAUUCGACAUGUAGGGCUAAGCGGGAAGGGUUGGGAGUACUGGCUGUCCAUCCUUCAGAGAACCUCGACCUACGCGCCCACAUUCUUCCUAACCCUCCACCUAACAAACACCUCUCUAAUCCCCCUCAUGACCAACUCCAUUACAGCCGCUGAACCCUACCUCCUCCUCACGCGACCCCUCUAUCAGUCCCCCGCCCUCGAACCUUUUCUGCUCACUAUACCCGUCCUCACCCACCUAAGCGCAGGCGUAGCCCUCCGCAUCCUCCGCGCCCGCCGCCGCGCCCGCCUCUACGGCGCCGAAACACGCGCCCAGCGCCACGAGUUCCGUGCGUCGGGGAACUGGAAACGGCCC